rnacentral:rRNA from 1 species
GAUGAACGCUGGCGGCGUGCUAAACACAUGCAAGUCGAGCGCGUCUGAUUUGAUGCUUGCAUUGAUGAAAGAUGAGCGGCGGACGGGUGAGUAACGCGUGGGUAACCUGCCCUAUACACAUGGAUAACAUACUGAAAAGUUUACUAAUACAUGAUAAUAUAUAUUUACGGCAUCGUAGAUAUAUCAAAGUGUUAGCGGUAUAGGAUGGACCCGCGUCUGAUUAGCUAGUUGGUGAGAUAACUGCCCACCAAGGCGACGAUCAGUAGCCGACCUGAGAGGGUGAUCGGCCACAUUGGAACUGAGACACGGUCCAAACUCCUACGGGAGGCAGCAGUGGGGAAUAUUGCACAAUGGGCGCAAGCCUGAUGCAGCAACGCCGCGCGAACGAUGAAGGUCUUCGGAUCGUAAAGUUCUGUUGCAGGGGAAGAUAAUGACGGUACCCUGUGAGGAAGCCCCGGCUAACUACGUGCCAGCAGCCGCGGUAAUACGUAGGGGGCUAGCGUUAUCCGGAUUUACUGGGCGUAAAGGGUGCGUAGGUGGUCUUUCAAGUCGGUGGUUAAAGGCUACGGCUCAACCGUAGUUAGCCUCCGAAACUGGAAGACUUGAGUGCAGGAGAGGAAAGUGGAAUUCCCAGUGUAGCGGUGAAAUGCGUAGAUAUUGGGAGGAACACCAGUAGCGAAGGCGGCUUUCUGGACUGCAACUGACACUGAGGCACGAAAGCGUGGGUAGCAAACAGGAUUAGAUACCCUGGUAGUCCACGCUGUAAACGAUGAGUACUAGGUGUCGGGGGUUACCCCCCUCGGUGCCGCAGCUAACGCAUUAAGUACUCCGCCUGGGGAGUACGCACGCAAGUGUG